AACGUAGGAGACAAGCGUUAUCCGGAGUUACUGGGCGUAAAGGGCGUGCAGGCGGCGCAUUAAGUCUGUUGUGAAAGCGCCUGGCUUAACCGGGCGAGGCCAAUGGAGACUGAUGGGCUCGAGGACGGCGGAGGGGUGUGGAAUUCCGGGUGUAGUGGUGAAAUGCGUAGAGAUCCGGAGGAACACCAGAGGCGAAGGCGGCACCCUAAGCCGUACCUGACGCUGAGACGCGACAGCACGGGGAGCAAACGGG
rnacentral:rRNA from 1 species